GAUAAAUUGGAGUUCAAACUUGUGUAUCGUUACUUUUGUUGACUAGUAUAUUUAUAUUUCAUUUCAGAGUUCACUCACAGAUGUUUAAUUUGUAAUUUUGGAUUUUUGCAGAUUCAGCUUAGAGAGGAUGUUUCAGUUGUCGACCUUGAAUAUGGCUAACAGACCUGGAAGAGUGGCAUAUAGAUUUCCAUAACUCUAUACUCUAUAUAUUUUAUUUUUAUCACAGAUGAAGCUAAAUCUACUGUAACCUUUCUGUGACAUGAUUUUCAUGGUGUUGGAUUAUAAAACUUUGGGGUCUAAUACAUCUAAAAGGAAGGUUAACAUCACAGCUUGUCUGUAAGGGUUGAGGUUGGGAAUGGCCAUUGGAGCUGACUUUUAUGGUAACUUUAACUGUGGCUGCAUGAAAAUGAUUGGGUGACUGUACCAGUAAAGAAUGUAAUUCAGACAAUUUUUGUGUAUGUUUGAGAAAAUGUUUAUAAUUUUUAACAAAAAAAAAAAAAUAGUGUAAAGAUUCUCCUUUGUCAACAAGAUUGUAAGUUAUAGAUAACUUAUUUUGAAUUUUAAAAUCUCUCUUUUUACCAUUAAAACCAAAGGAUAUAUUCAGGUAGCUCUACUCAUGUCCAUUCUUGACAAUUUUUUUGUCAUGCAUAUUGAUACUGAACUGGUUUUUGGUAUGUAUAGUUUUGUUUUGUGUUCAUAGUUCAGAUUGUAUUCAUUAUUAUACCCCACGCAACGAGUUGCGGAGGGUAAAAUGUUUUUGACCCGUCCGUCCGUCAGUCCGUCAGUCCUGUUUCUUGUCAUCGCAACUCCUCUCAAACCACACAACAGAAUUUCACGAAACCUUUUUAGAUAAUAAGGACAUACUAUGUAGUUGUGCAUAUCGACAGGAAAUUGCGAUUAAAUUUUUUUUCUAGGAGUUGCGCCCCUUUGAACUGAUUUGCUUCAAUGUACUACUGCAACAGUUUGUCAUCGCAACUCCUCUGAUACCACACAACAGAAUUUCAUGAAACCUUUUUAGAUAAUAAGGACAUACUAUGUAGAUGUGCAUAUCGACAGGAAAUUACGGUUCAAUUUUUUUUCUAGGAGUUACGCCCCUUUGAACUUAUUUGCUUCAAUGUACUACUGCAACAGUUUGUCAUCGCAACUCCUCUGAUACCACACAACAGAAUUUCAUGAAACCUUUUUAGAUAAUAAGCACAUACUAUGUAGAUGUGCAUAUCGACAGGAAAUUACGGUUCAAUUUUUUUCUAGGCGUUACGCCCCUUUGAACUUAUUUGCUUCAAUGUACUUCUGCAACAGUUUGUCAUCGCAACUCCUCUGAAACCACACAACAUAAUUUCAUGAAACUUUGUAGAUAAUAAGGACAUACUAUGUACAUGUGCAUAUUGACAGGAAAUUAUGAUUCAAUUUUUUUUUCUUAUACAAUUUUUUUUUCUUACACAUAUUUUAUUUCUCCAAUGACAAUGUGGGGAUGUGGGGUAUGUGAGCGCGCUCACUAAGGUUCUUUAAUUUUUUUUCCCCUGUGGCUAGAUUUAAUUGGUACUUUGAAAAUGAAUUGAAAUGGACCAAUUUUAUUUGAAGACCUACUCUUUUAGAUAUAUUAAUAAUGGUCCGUGUCUAGUCAAAACACUUCCAGAAGUUAAGAAUGGAGAAUCUAAAAAAAAAAGAAAAAAAUGAGAAAUGUAUAUUUUGGCUUUCACCGUUGUUAAAUAUAUAUCUUUUCCGACUUUUUUCGUUUUUUUAUGCCCCUGCCAUAGGGAAAGGAGGCAUUAAGUGUUACCCUUGGCGUCCUUCUGUCCUUUUGUUGUUCCUUUUGUCCCAUUUUUGUUUCCGCACUAACUUUUAAGAGUAAUGCCCCUUUAUCAGUUGGAAAGUUGUAAAUUUGGACAGUGAGUCACUUACUUUUCUAGAUUUAUGCUCCUUUUUACAAUUUUUAAAAUUGCAAAGCUUGAGCAAGGGCAUCGUGUCCUCGGACACAUUCUUCUUUUAUUUUUUAGCUGAGUUUGAUAUAAUUUAUAUUUUUAUCAAUUGUUUUAUUCUGAAUAAUUAUACAUUUUUUUAUACUGUCUAAAGUAUACUUCCUGAGACAGUCUUCAGAGCAUUAGGUUUUGGACUCAGGUUUCCAACAUUUUCCCACUACAAAUUCAGUUUUUAAAGAAGUUUGAUCAAGUUCACUUGCUUUAGUUGGUUGUCAUUGUUGUUCCUGGCAGGGAGAUUGAUGAUGAUAGAGAUUUUGUCAUUAUUUGGUAUUUAACUUAAAAUACAGCAUAGAAGCAUUUCAUCAAUUAUAAUUUUUAUGAUUAUCUUUUAUGUAUAUAUGCUUACAAUUUGUAUACAUGGAUAUUGUUUUAAAAAUCAUUAAAAUCUGGUGUCCAGAUGAGCUGUCUGGGUUAUCAGCAACAUGAA